rnacentral:snoRNA from 1 species
AAACCAUGAUGAGGGCAACACCUAAGCAGGUCCUUAUAUCUCUCCCAAGCAUCGUACAACUAUUUUGCAUAUAGCUGUAUAAAUGAUGUGAUAUCAUUUCUCAUCUU